rnacentral:rRNA from 1 species
AGGAAUAUUGGUCAAUGGGCGCAAGCCUGAACCAGCCAUGCCGCGUGCAGGAAGACGGCUCUAUGAGUUGUAAACUGCUUUUGUACUAGGGUAAUUUUCGGUACGUGUACCGUAUUUAAAGUAUAGUACGAAUAAGGAUCGGCUAACUCCGUGCCAGCAGCCGCGGUAAUACGGAGGAUCCAAGCGUUAUCCGGAUUUAUUGGGUUUAAAGGGUGCGUAGGCGGCAGAUUAAGUUAGAGGUGAAAUUCCGAGGCUCAACCUUGGCACUGCCUCUGAUACUGGUUUGCUAGCGAGUAGAUGCUGUAGGCGGAAUGUGUGGUGUAGCGGUGAAAUGCAUAGAGAUCACACAGAACACCGAUUGCGAAGGCAGCAUACCGGCGCCCUACUGACGCUGAGGCACGAAAGCGUGGGGAUCGAACAGG